rnacentral:rRNA from 1 species
UUUUGACCUCGGAUCAGGUAGGGAUACCCGCUGAACUUAAGCAUAUCAAUAAGCGGAGGAAAAGAAACCAACAGGGAUUGCCCUAGUAACGGCGAGUGAAGCGGCAACAGCUCAAAUUUGAAAUCUGGCUCUUUUAGAGUCCGAGUUGUAAUUUGCAGAGGGCGCUUUGGCUUUGGCAGCGGUCCAAGUUCCUUGGAACAGGACGUCACAGAGGGUGAGAAUCCCGUACGUGGUCGCUGGCUAUUGCCGUGUAAAGCCCCUUCGACGAGUCGAGUUGUUUGGG